rnacentral:rRNA from 1 species
UACAGAGGGUGCGAGCGUUAAUCGGAAUUACUGGGCGUAAAGCGUGCGCAGGCGGUUGUGCAAGACAGAUGUGAAAUCCCCGGGCUUAACCUGGGAAUUGCAUUUGUGACUGCACGGCUAGAGUGUGUCAGAGGGGGGUGGAAUUCCACGUGUAGCAGUGAAAUGCGUAGAUAUGUGGAGGAAUACCGAUGGCGAAGGCAGCCCCCUGGGAUAACACUGACGCUCAUGCACGAAAGCGUGGGGAGCAAACAGG